rnacentral:lncRNA from 1 species
CUGAGCUCCCGGCCGCACAUCAGGGCACCCAUGUUUCAGGCAACUGGACAGGGAGGGUCGGCGUGCGGCCUGAGGCCUCUGCCAGCCUUCAGUGCGGAGCCGCCGAGGAUCCUGACGAGGUUGCAGGGAGUGAGUGACUCCGCUGCCCUCUAGGUGAUUGUUACUGAAGGAUUUAAAAGGUGAGGUUAAAUCUACAAGGAAGGGGGACCAUUUAAACCAUUUUAAGUCCAGUCCAGUGGCGUUUGGUACUUUCAUGCUGUGCUGACAUCGCCAGCGUUCAUCUGCAGAAUUUUUUUCUCUCCCCAAACUGAAACCCUGACCCCGGUAGACACUGAUUUCCCACGGCUCCUCCCCAGCCCCCGGCCCCUCAUGCUGUGAGUCUGGCUGCUCGGAGGCCCUUGGGUGGCGUCGUGCCGUGUGUGCUGUUUGGUGUCUGGCUUAUGCACGUGCGGUAAGGUCCCAAGGCUCGUCCUUGCUGUCUCUGGUCAGGGUCCUCCCUUCGCGGGCUGAGUAACAUUCCGCUCUGUGGAUAGAACACCCAGCAUCCAUUCGUUCAUGUUGCUUAUCUGUUCGGCAAAUUGUCAUCCAUUUGUCUGAGCACUUGCGUUGCUUCCACCUUUUGGCUGUUGCGAGUUGGACUUGAAUCUGGGGACCGUGACUGGUUGGAGGCCCAGGGGGAAACUGGCUGCCAGGGCACAGUGGACAAAGCCGAGGCCACGUCUGUUGCUCCCCUGCUCCGAGCACAGCGCCUGCACGGGGUGGGUCCUGGCUGAAUGGACGAGUGACUCUAUUUGCAGAAACAUCUAUAAAAGAUGGACGUGGUGUCACACCUUAGAAUUAAAGCAGAGAGGAUUCAGUGAAGACAAAGAUGAAAUAAAAUGAUGUACCUGAAACUACACAUAAGCCACAAGGCACAGUACACCUGCUAUUAUCUUCCUCGUUGUUUUCUCUGUAUCUCUAAUAGCCUGGGCAAAUUCAGAAUCCAACCUUCUCCAGGAUCUCUGCAGCUUCGUGACCGUGUAGUUCCCUCUUCACAGCUCCCAGAAUCCAGAUGUUCCUAUAGCCAACUUGAAUUCCGUGCCUGACCCGUAAGACUCUUAAUAAACACAUGCCAGAUGAAUGGGUGAAAGUUGAG